AAAGUCGUAACAAGGUUUCCGUAGGUGAACCUGCGGAAGGAUCAUUAACACUUUUUAUUAUUUUGUUUUUUUUCUAAAACAAAAUUUAAAACCCCACAAUUUUGGAUGAAUUUAAUUAAUUUAUUUUUUAUUUAUUUUUUUUUUAUUAUAACCCUAUUAUUUGACUAACAUUUUUAUUUAAUUAUUAAAAAAUUAAAAAAACAACUCUUAACAACGGAUAUCUUGGCUCUC
rnacentral:misc_RNA from 1 species